CGUAUCCAACCUGCCCACCACUUGGGGAUAACCUUGCGAAAGUAAGACUAAUACCCAAUGAUAUCUCUAGAAGGCAUCAGAAAGAGAUUAAAGAUUUAUCGGUGAUGGAUGGGGAUGCGUCUGAUUAGCUUGUUGGCGGGGUAACGGCCCACCAAGGCGACGAUCAGUAGGGGUUCUGAGAGGAAGGUCCCCCACAUUGGAACUGAGACACGGUCCAAACUCCUACGGGAGGCAGCAGUGAGGAAUAUUGGUCAAUGGGCGAGAGCCUGAACCAGCCAAGUAGCGUGCAGGAAGACGGCCCUAUGGGUUGUAAACUGCUUUUAUAAGGGAAUAAAGUGAGUCUCGUGAGACUUUUUGCAUGUACCUUAUGAAUAAGGACCGGCUAAUUCCGUGCCAGCAGCCGCGGUAAUACGGAAGGUCCGGGCGUUAUCCGGAUUUAUUGGGUUUAAAGGGAGCGUAGGCCGGAGAUUAAGCGUGUUGUGAAAUGUAGUGGCUCAACCUCUGCACUGCAGCGCGAACUGGUCUUCUUGAGUACGCACAACGUGGGCGGAAUUCGUGGUGUAGCGGUGAAAUGCUUAGAUAUCACGAAGAACUCCGAUUGCGAAGGCAGCUCACGGGAGCGCAACUGACGCUGAAGCUCGAAAGUGCGGGUAUCGAACAGGAUUAGAUACCCUGGUAGUCCGCACGGUAAACGAUGGAUGCCCGCUGUUGGCCUGAAUAGGUCAGCGGACAAGCGAAAGCAUUAAGCAUCCCACCUGGGGAGUACGCCGGCAACGGUGAAACUCAAAGGAAUUGACGGGGGCCCGCACAAGCGGAGGAACAUGUGGUUUAAUUCGAUGAUACGCGAGGAACCUUACCCGGGCUUGAAUUGCAGAGGAAGGAUUUGGAGACAACGACGCCCUUCGGGGUCUCUGUGAAGGUGCUGCAUGGUUGUCGUCAGCUCGUGCCGUGAGGUGUCGGCUUAAGUGCCAUAACGAGCGCAACCCCUCUCCUUAGUUGCCAUCAGGUCAAGCUGGGCACUCUGGGGACACUGCCACCGUAAGGUGUGAGGAAGGUGGGGAUGACGUCAAAUCAGCACGGCCCUUACGUCCGGGGCUACACACGUGUUACAAUGGCAGGUACAGAGAGAUGGUCCCUUGCAAAAUGGAUCAAAUCC
rnacentral:rRNA from 1 species